rnacentral:lncRNA from 1 species
UUUGUCACUGCACACAAUACGGGUCUGGGCUGUCAUCUGUAUAGUACAGAACGCUAUCUUAGUUGUUUAUUAAUGUACCAGCAAUGACAGUGAAAGUCGACUAAUCAUCAACAGCAUGUAUUGCUAUGUUUGAGGCAACAAUUAAAAUACAUUACCAUUCUAUUAUGUGUAAAAAUAAAAUUAAUGACUGAAAUAUAUUUUUAUAUAUAUAUUUUUUCUUCAUAUUUCAGAAUGCAAGGAUAGGAACUGUGAAAGGACAGGGAAGACAGUGGUGAAGUCCAGAGUUAGGGAGGUUAGUUAGAACGGAAUCUAAGGGAAGAACAGGGAAGACAGUGGUGGAGUCCAGAGUUAGGGAGGUUAGUUAGAACGGAAUCUAAGGGAAGAACAGGGAAGACAGUGGUGAAGUCCAGAGUUAGGGAGGUUAGUUAGAACGGAAUCUAAGGGAAGAACAGGGAAGACAGUGGUGAAGUCCAGAGUUAGGGAGGUUAGUUAGAACGGAAUCUAAGGGAAGAACAGUGGAGACAGUGGUGAAGUCCAGAGUUAGGGAGGUUAGUUAGAACGGAAUCUAAGGGAAGAACAGGGAAGACAGUGGUGAAGUCCAGAGUUAGGGAGGUUAGUUAGAACGGAAUCUAAGGGAAGAACAGGGAAGACAGUGGUGAAGUCCAGAGUUAGGGAGGUUAGUUAGAACGGAAUCUAAGGGAAGAACAGGGAAGUAAAGAACUGUUGUGACAUUGAUGUUAUACAAUAAACAGGGGAAAUUGUUUGAUUUUCUGUUAACAGUAACAAUAUAUCACCUCUUUGACCUGCGCCUAGUUAUUUUCAAGGAAGUACAGUCAGUAUAGUCAAUAACAUCAUCAAUUGAGUACAUUUCUGAAUUUAGUAAAAGGUGUUGAAAAUUACACAAAACCACAAAGCAAGUGAUUACAAAUACUUAAAAAAAAAAUCUGUUCAUAAAAGGGCAGAGAGAAGAUUUAAUCAGAUGGACGCCAUGCUCCUGGUAGUUGGACCAAGGUGCGCCGACAUUUUCUGCCACUGCAAUGAAACCAACAACAACAACAAAAUGAACAAACCACAUCAUCUCCUAAAGCACUCCUUUUCCUAUACCUGUGAAGGAGCUCUCUCAUUCUCUCUCUAUCUACUCCCCCACUUAUCUCCAUAUAAUAAAUCCUCUUCAGUUUCCAAGUUGUGUCUGCUUUAUGAAGACAUUGUUAAGAAUUAUCCUAUAUUAUUGUUUAAUGGCAUAAACUUCUACAUGUACUAUGACAGAUCUACAAGUUGUACAAUGAAUCAGAAAAGCUGCAGAUUCAGCAGUUGGUGGAGCCAGGAGAACACAAUGGUAGAUGGCAUACAUUGUAGCCUGUCGAUAUGGAAUGGGACCAGGGAGGACAACACGGUGUUCCUCCAUGACGCUACAAUUGUAACCUACUCAAUUAAUAUUGGUUUAUCAAUAUUAUUACAUGUGUAGGCCUAAUAUCAAAGUUAGUCUGCAAUCAGGGUUUGGCCUAGUAGAAUGUAUUUACAUUUUUUUAUUAACCUUUAAUUAAACAGGGAUUCACAUUAAGAUAAAACUAUUUUACAAGAGCCCUGUAUACAUUAAAAAAUAAAACCCAGUACAUAAAUAAAACACAACAGUCUAAUAUACUGUUCAAAAGUUUGGGGUCACUUAGAAAUGUCCUUGUUUUGAAAGAAAAUCACUUUUUUUGUCCAUUAAAAUAACAUAAAAUUGAUCAGAAUUACAGUGUAGAUAUUGUUAAUGUUGUAAAUGACUAUUGUAGCUGGAAACAGCUGAUAAAACAAGAAGGAUUAUCUACAUAGGCGUACAGAGGCCCAUUAUCGGCAACCAUCACUCCUGUGUUCCAAUGGCACGUUGUGUUAGCUAAUCCAAGUUUAUCAUUUUAAAAAGCAAAUUGAUCGUUAGAAAACCCUCGUUAGAAAACUGUUGUUCUAAUUAAAGAAGCAAUAAAACUGACCUUUAGACUAGUUCAGUAUCUGGAGCAUCAGCAUUUGUGGGUUCGAUUACAGGAUCAAAAUGGCCAGAAACAAAGAACUUUCUUCUGAACUUUCUUCGUCAGUCUAUUCUUGUUCUGAGAAAUGAAUGCGAUUCCAUGUGAGAAAUUGCCAAGAAACUGAAGAGCUCGUACAACGCUGUGUACUACUCCCUUCACAGAACAGCGCAGACUGGCUCUAACCAGAAUAGAAAGAUGAGUGGGAGGCCCCGGUGCACAACUGAGCAAGAGGACAAGUACAUUAGAGUGUCUCUAGUUUGAGAAACAGACGCCUCACAAGUCCUCAACUGGCAGCUUCAUUAAAUAGUACCCGCAAAACACCAGUCUCAACGUCAAUAGUGAAGAGGCGACUCCGGGAUGUUGGCCUUCCAAGCAGAGUUCCUCCCUCCAGUGUCUGUGUUCUUUUGCCCAUCUUAAUCUUUUCUUUUUAUUGGCCAGUCUGAGAUAUGGCUUUUUCUUUGCAACUCUGCCUAGAAGGCCAGCAGAUACACAACAUUAAACAUAUUUAAGAAAAGCAAUCGCAUUCUGUAACAUAAGUCUCCAAUCAAUAAUUUUAAAUGCCUGAAAGGCACCCGAAUAUCUAACUGCAAGGAAUGCUGUGUAUCGUUCCACACAUAAGGGGCAAAAAACCAAAAUGCAGAUUUUCCCAAUUCUGUGGAGACCAAAUGGAUCUCCAGAGUUAUAUUAAGAUAUUAAGAUUUGGUUCAGUAACAUGAACAAUUCCUAGGUCAACAAACUAAUACAAUCAGUGGAAGCUGCUGAGGGGAGGACAGCUCAUAAUAAUGGCUGUAACGGAGCGAAUGUAAUGGCAUCAAACACAUGGAAACUAUGUGAUUGAUGUAUUUGAAACCGUUCUACUCAUUCUGCUCCAGCCAUUACCACGAGCCCGUCCUCCCCAAUUAAGGUGCCACCAACGUCCUGUGGCUAUAAUAUGUAUAGGCCGUACAUUCAUUAGCUGGCAAUAAAAGUAAUACUUAAUCGGUAUGUUCCUGGUCAAUUUUUAAGUGUUGUUAUAUUAUGAUUGUACCGCUGAGUGCCGUUCUGUAACGUUGAGCCCUCCCUUAUAAAAAAAGAUUGCAGUAACUGCAGUCGACUGGUAUUUUGGAUGCAGUAAUUGCAGUAUACUGCACUCUAGCGGCAGUUACACUGCAAAAUUACUGCAUUAAGUAAAACUGUUAUUUUGGAUGCAGUAUUUUCAGUAUAAUGCAGUUAUAAUGCACUCUAACUGCAGUUAUACUGCAAUCUUUUUUUCCUAAGGGCUGCUGAACAGGUCCUGUAUUUUUGACAACAGCGAAUUUUUCUAGCAAAGGUCGCAAUUGCUUGUAUUAUUAUUAUACUUACAAGAAAUAAAUUGUACAUUUUACAGGUUAUGAUCAUAACAACUAAGUCUCUGAAAUAUAAAGAGGGAGAACAUUAAACAUGCAGGUUUGGGUCUUUUUAUUUAUUUAUUAUACAUUUUUUUUACAUUGUAAUAAACUUAGUGAAAUCUUAACGGAAUAUAUUUACAAAAUAAUACAUAUAGGAGCAGUCAGCAUUGUACAUCAGGACGAACAACUACAUUUGUUUUGACUACUAGUCUAUUUUUUUAUGAUGGACAUUUUUUGAUGUAGAAAAACCAGUAUACAAAGAAGCAUACAAAUAGAUAAUGAUAACAUAUGCAAGGGGGUACAACAAAUGACAUAUUAUACAAAAACCUUAAAAGAAACACACAUUGAUUGUUUUAACAGCUUUCUUAUAAGAAGAAUGUUGAAUGGUCUUAAUGUACUGCUCGAAUUCCUUAUACGGAAGAGGGUUUUUUAUUAGUGAAUUUACAUUUAUGAAUAUGACAUUUUGCCAUUUGCACAAUUAGAUUUAUGAGGUAAAAUUGUUUUUCUUUAUCCUUAUUUUAAGGAAACCCGAGCAGCACAUUCUCCCAUAAAAAAAAAGUAAUCGAGAAUAUUAACAAUUAUAAAACUGUGAAUAUCUUUCCAUAAUCUUUUUUACAUGUAGACAAUGCCAAAAUAAAUGCAAAACUGUUUCUGGAUGCUCAACACAAAAAGUACAGUCAAUGUUAAUGUCUUUUUUAAGUUUAAUCAGGUAAUGAUUCGCAGGGCAAUACUUAUGGAUCAUUCUGAAAGAGACCUCUUUGACCUUGUUAACAAGCAGGUAUUUGUGUGGUAAUAACCCUACUUUUUUCCAACAGAUAUUAGUGACCAAUGUAUUCCAGUAAGUUGUGACAUAAGGAAUGGAUACAAUAUCCCUUUGAAAAAAGCACGUAUAGAUCUGUUGUUCUGAGGGAGCAAGGAGAAACAUAUUUUUCCUAUUGAUGAGUCAACUGGAUUAAGCGAGGGUAGGUCAAGAAGGUGAGGUCUGGCUAAUCCUCUAAACAACAUGAGAGUUCCAGAUGGAAUAGCAUCAAAGACUAUGGCAAACUCUCUAGGUGUAACAGGGAUAUUGUAAUGAGAUAAAAAUUCCUCAUAAUUGAGUAACAAUCCUUCUGCAUUAAAAAGUUGACUCACCAGCAGGAUAUGAUUAUUAAACCAUUUCUUAAAAAAUAAAGACUUGUUUCUAUACAACAUAUCCUUAUUGUUCCAAAUGAAAUACCUAUGCGGGGGGAAAGUAUGUUUAUAUAUUAACGACCACGCUAAGAAUACUUGUCUUUGAAAAGCAGAUCAUUUUGUAGGAAUCUUAUCAUAGUUACAAAGUAACAUAAAAUUGAGGCCACCAAAAUGGGAGAAGAUAUGAGGGCUGAGAUUCCAAAUUGAAG